rnacentral:rRNA from 1 species
CAGUCGCCGCGGGAAUACGAAGGGGGCUAGCGUUGUUCGGAUUUACUGGGCGUAAAGGGUGCGUAGGCGGACUGAUAAGUCAGGGGUGAAAUCCCAAGGCUCAACCUUGGAACUGCCUUUGAUACUGUUAGUCUUGAGUUCGAGAGAGGUGGGUGGAACUGCGAGUGUAGAGGUGAAAUUCGUAGAUAUUCGCAAGAACACCAGUGGCGAAGGCGGCUCACUGGCUCGAAACUGACGCUGAGGCACGAAAGCGUGGGGAGCAAACAGGAUUAGAGACCCCUGUAGUCCCUGUCUCUUAUAC